ACGCCUGCGACAGAGCCUCCUCUGAUCCACCGCCCCCCGGCAGAGGGGUCACGCAGAGGUGGUCUGUCGAGGGGAACGGCUCCGAGCUGUCUACCAGCUCCAGAGGGGCUAUUCGGCGUGUGAAACCCAGGAGAAGGUCUCCCGUCUAGAGUGCCGUGGCUCCUGUCUGGAGGGGGCUGAAGGGGGGGGCGGGAGCGGCUGCUGCUCCCCUUUACGUUCCAAACGCAGGAAAUACACCUUCCACUGCACCGACGGCUCCUCCUUCGUACAGGAAGUGGAGAAGGUGGUGAAGUGCGGCUGUACAAAGUGUCCUCCCUCGUAAAACGUCACCUCCUUUACCCUGGGAUGAAAGGUUCCGCUUCCUGUUCCUGCUCCUGUCUCUCUCUGGAAGGAAACCCAUCCCUCUCUCCUCCUCUGACCUCAUCCCUCUCUCCUCCUCUGACCUCAUCCCCUUCUUCUCUUCCAACCUCAUCCCCCUUUCCUCC